CAUCAGCUUUCUACAAUGUUGAAUUUAAGUGUAGUGUGAGUGGAAUUGCCUCUAGUAUUAGUAUUCCUAAACUUGAGAAACUGGCUUUCGGAUGUUGUCAAGGGAUCCAUAAGUUUGAGAUCAGUCCUCCUAAGCUUGAAAUGUUGUCUGUUAUUGAUUCUUUGUAUGAUGUAGUUGAUUCGAGAUGGUUAGCACCGCAUUUGAAAGCCAUUAAGACUCUUUGGUUGUGUGGCUCUUCGUUGUGGCGUAUGGAUGUAUAUGUGUUUCCAAUUGCAAUAAAUCUGAAAGUAAUAAAGUUGUAUGAAUUCAAAAAUUUCCCAACCUAUGUGAACUGCGGAUUAUUGCAGAUAAGUUCCGUGGGAAGGAUGACCAAGAAGCUACUUCAAGGCUUUUGGAGGAUCCAGACGGUGGCUUUGUUAUUCAGGAGCUGAAGAUGCUUAACACAAUCAAGAUUGAAUCAUUCAGUGAAUUCCCACUCGCAAUGCUUUUUAUAAAAAUGUUGCUCUCAAAAUCCCCUGUGCUAAAGAGAGUUGUUAUUGUGCAGUCUUGGCAUAAUAUGAAUGACUCCGAGGUGAGAAAAAUCCAAAGGAAGUUGGAAUGCUUCCCUCGUGCAUCUCCAAACGCACAAAUUGUCUACGCGGGCAAUUACUAUGCGUCUAUGUGUGAUGAUUGGUUCGAUACCCAUGGUUUUACGCUUUUAGAAAUGUAAGCAAAGAUUGUGUUGGAAGUUGACAUGUUUUCUAAGUUGAGCAUGAGGUAUUUGUAAUCAGCAAGCAUUGUGGGCAAUUAAGAAUGUUUCUAUAUUUGCUUUUGUUAAUAAAUUACUUCAAUUAUGCUGCU